UAGCGUAUAUUAAAGUUGUUGCAGUUAAAAAGCUCGUAGUCGGAUUUCGGGGCGGGGCGAGCGGUCUGCCGAUGGGUAUGCACUGUUCGGCGCGUCCUUCUUUCCGGAGACCGGCCCUACUCUUAGCUGAGCGGGGUCGGGAGACGGAAUUUUUACUUUGAAAAAAUCAGAGUGUUUAACGCGGGCAUCUCGCUUUUGAAUGGAUUAGCAUGGGAUAAUGAAAUAGGACUCGGGUGCUAUUUUGUUGGUUUCGAAAACCGGAGUAAUGAUUAAAAGGGACAGUCAGGGGCACUAGUAUUCUGUUGAGAGAGGUGAAAUUCUCAGACCAAUGGAAGACGAACCACUGCGAAAGCAUUUG
rnacentral:rRNA from 1 species